rnacentral:rRNA from 1 species
UACGUAGGGUCCGAGCGUUGUCCGGAAUCACUGGGCGUAAAGCGCACGUAGGCGGAUUGCUAGUCAGGGGUGAAAUCCUGGAGCUCAACUCCAGAACUGCCUUUGAUACUGGUGAUCUUGAGUCCGGGAGAGGUGAGUGGAACUGCGAGUGUAGAGGUGAAAUUCGUAGAUAUUCGCAAGAACACCAGUGGCGAAGGCGGCUCACUGGACUGGUAUUGACGCUGAGGUGGCGAAAGCGUGGGGAGCAAACAGG